rnacentral:lncRNA from 1 species
CUUAAAUAGUCAAUGAACAUGAAAAUAUUUGCAUGGCAGGACUUAAUCGUCAGGCUGGCUACGCUACUGCAUGAUUCUCAUCAGAUGGGGUGUUGGGUAUAACAAAUGAAUGACAUCACUCUCUUUUGAUGGGUAAAAUUGUCCGCCACUAGAGUAAAACAAUAAAGUAAGGAGCAUUUGGGUACAUUGCAGCUUAAUGAAUUGAUGAGUUAACCAACAGACCAACUAUUUGCCCAUGCCUGCCUCAGUUUACCACUUUGUCAUAAGCCCCUCCCCCUUGUCAGGGAAUAUAGCCCCCACCCCCUCCCCCCACCUCAUCAGGAAAAAUUAAGAAAUUCAUCGGGGACCUGCCAACAAACACAGGUAAAAAU